rnacentral:rRNA from 1 species
UUCCGGUUGAUCCUGCCGGACCCGACUGCUAUUUGGGUGAGGAUAAGCCAUGCGAGUCGAAUGGGAUACCUAAAUUUCCCAUGGCGAACUGCUCAGUAACACAUGAUCAACUUACCCUAUUGAGAAAGAUAACCUCGGGAAACUGAGGAUAAUAUUUCAUAGUUGAAUUGGCUUGGAAAAGUUUUUCAACAAAAGGGAUAGGGAAAAUGGUCUCUAUCCGCUAUAGGAUAGGAUCGUGUUCGAUUAUGGUAGUUGGUGAGGUAACGGCUCACCAAGCCGAUAAUCGAUAGGGGCCGUGAGAGCGGGAGCCCCGAGAUGGGUACUGAGACAACGACCCAGGCCUUACGAGGCGCAGCAGGUACGAAACCUCCACAAUACACGAAAGUGUGAUGGGGUUACCCAAAGUGUUCAUUAUUGAACUGUGGUAGGAGAGUAAUGUCCCCUACUAGAAAGGAGAGGGCAAGGCUGGUGCCAGCCGCCGCGGUAAAACCAGCUCUUCAAGUGGUCGGGAUAAUUAUUGGGCUUAAAGUGUCCGUAGCCGGUUUAGUAAGUUUCUGGUAAAAUCGGGUAGCUUAACUAUCUGUAUGCUAGGAAUACUACUAUACUAGAGGGCGGGAGAGGUCUGAGGUACUACAGGGGUAGGGGUGAAAUCUUAUAAUCCUUGCAGGACCACCAGUGGCGAAGGCGUCCCACCAGAACGGAUCCGACGGUCAGGGACGAAGCCCAGGGGCGCAAACGGGAUUAGAUACCCCGGUAGUCCUGGGUGUAAACGCUGCAGGCUUGGUGUCGGAGGUCCUACGGGGACGUCCGGUGCCGGAGCGAAGGUGUUAAGCCUGCUACUUGGGGAGUACGGUCGCAAGACUGAAACUUAAAGGAAUUGGCGGGAGAGCACCGCAACGGGAGGAGCGUGCGGUUCAAUUGGAUUCAACGCCGGA